GGAAGGCUGUGGCUCAGUAGCAGAGCCCUUGCUUGGCAUGCAGAAGGUCCAGAGUUCAACUUUUGGCAUCUCCA